rnacentral:lncRNA from 1 species
GGGAGACAGUUCAUCUGUUCGAGGCAAGUGGUUUUUAAGUGGGAUCUUUGCAACGCAUCGUAACCCCCCCACUCACCUGGGAGCUUACCUGGUGAACUCAGUUCAUUAGACCGGAUUGGAGGCUUAGGUGCCCUCUUCAAACCAGUUAGGAGCUGUCUAGUGAUUUUAGGGCAAACAUAAGGAAUUGAUGUGUUUUUCUUUUAAUGCAUGCUU